ACCCCCAAAGGCACAAUGGCCAGUUGUGCUGGUGAGCCACGUUUACAUACUGACAAAUUUGUCUACAGAUACAUGUUUUCUUAAGCAGCUCCUGGACUCAGCAAAGCUUUGCUUGUUUGUGUUUUCCAUGAAAGGCUCUAGGAGAGUGACAAUUUUCAGGGACUGACCUGUAUCUUGUUUGAAGUGAUGGGGUAUCGUGUGUUUACAUGCAGUGAUGUGUGUUUUUGUGUUUGUGUGUACCGCGGUAAAACUGAACAACCUAUUAAUGUGUGCGUUACUCUAUCAACUGCCCCAAAUUUAGUUGAAACACUUAGGAGCACAGCUUCCUAGUGAUAGCAUGUUAGCUUAGUAAGCCUCUGGUUAAGGCAAACGGGAAACAGGGGGAAGAAGGGAAAAGGAAGAGAAGGGCCCAGAUAGAGUAAGAGACAAUCAUUGUAUUUCCCCAAAAUAUGGGAUCACAUGCUUUAAAAAAACAAAUCAAGAUGAGAUGCCUGAUCAGAAGCUGGCAUGGAGAACAUGUAAGCACCACCAAGUUUCUUGGGUGCCUUGAUUAUCUGUGUACUGUGACCAGGCUUAUCUGAUAUACUGAUAGUACUUCUUGAUAGUUAUAUGGUACACUGGCCUUGCAGUGUUUAUUUGGGAAGCCAUGUAGUUGUUCAUAGAUAUACCUAGGUAGGGCCUGGCGUGAAUUUUCAAAGCCUAGGAGUCAGCUACAGAGUAUGCAGGUUCAUUCUGCGAAGUAAAACUUUCACAGUCCUGGGCCGUGACUCAGGCAAAAAAAGUAUGAGAUUGAUUUUCUAUCUGCCUGGAGUCCUUCCCACCUCUACAGCCUAAGGUAGGCUGAUUCCAGAAUCCCACAGCAUUUUGAUAGCAGUUCUGAGCAAGUGAGGACUGUAGAGGGCAUUGGCUGGGAGGAGGGUGACCUGUCCUGUCCAAGCUGGCUGGCCCCUUAGAGAACUGGGAUCAUGGUCAGAGGCUGGCCUCACACCAGUGGCUUGCAAGAGCACUGGAUGUCCUGCUGUCCUCGAGGGCCCUCUUCCCCAGCAUAAAAAAACGGUGACUCCCCUGUACCCUGCAACUCGUGGUGUCCUAGUGAAGAGAGGGCGCCCUUGUGCCCAACGUGCCUUGGCGACCCCGGCGGCACCGCGCCCUGCCUUGCACGUCGCGACCCCGCCGAGCCCUCAGGGCCAAACCCAGCCAGAAGCCACCUGAGCCUUGUGGCUGGGCCGCCCUCUGUAUUUGUAUUUGGAUUCCUAUGUUUGUACUUCUGAUACAAAUAAAUGCACAUGUUGUCAG
rnacentral:lncRNA from 1 species